GUACGUUUCCACUGUAAAGAGAGUCAGCCGGGGAGCGGGGCCGCCGCGCCCGCCCGGCCCCGACGCACAAAGGCUUCAUAUAUUCUGAAUGAAGGCGAAUCGCAGCCUCGGCCUCCGUGAAAAGAGCCGUGAGGGAGACUUAAUUCUCUCCCUUUCAGCUGUGCUCAGACUGUGAAAUCCACACAAUCGCGCCCUUCUCUUUAGAGGGAGGGAGGAGAGGGGCCGCGGUCGCGCGCCGCGCCGUUAGCCGGGCGCGCACAGGGAGAGUUCACUCCGGGGACAAGGGCGGCCGGCCCGGGGCUGGUUGGCAGCAGGGUUUCCCAUCCGACCGGGCGGCGGCAGCCCCUUUCUCCCGCUGCAUUUCACGGCGCCUUUUGUUGGCUCGCGCAGACCAGGGUCGGGCCUGUCAGCACUUACUCUGAGGAAAGCCAUGUCAGCAGCUGCCUUCUGGAGAAUCCACCUGGCGAGGAACUCCAGCCUCCUGCCAACAGCCACGUUGCGGGGUUUCCUGGGGGCCAAACGUCCUCACAGCCACCAUCUCAUCUAAUUAUUACAAUGGCCUCGGGAGGGAGAUACCGUCAUUACUAUUCCCAAGGAUCAGAAGAGGCGCCGAGGCAAAGAAUGGGACAUGACUGGCCCAAGGCCACCACCGGCAGAGCUGGAACUGAAACCCAUCAUCUCGUCCUCUGUUCUAUGGUCAUUCCUCGGGGAUCCACCUGCUUCCAGCUGUGACUUUGCCAUAUGUAUACCGCAACAUGCAGAUUCACUUAUGGGAUGCAGCAAAAACGAUGAUGCCACGUCUGAGAGUUGGCUAGAGAAGACUGUGCCUUUGGUCUUGCUGGAGCUCUUUCUUGCCUCCUGACUGUGUGCUCGGAUGAAGCCGCCUGUCGUGGAGAAGGCUGCACGCCAGGCAUGGAGGAAGCCGGGGCCCGACGGCCACACAAAAGCCUGAAAGCGAAUCCACUCCAGUUGAGCCUUGAGACAACCGCAGCCCUGGUCACCUGGGCCACACAGCCCAGUUGGACACCCAGAGUGUCCCACUCCCGACACAUAGAAACUGUGGGAUAAAUGUGUGUUGUCUCACGUUUCCAAAUUUGUGGUAAUUUGUUUUGCACAACAGAUAACUAAUAUUCCAAAGCAACGUAGUCUGGCCCUAAACUUGCAGACUCUUGAGAUUGUACACCUUCUGCAAACGGCAGAAGACAGAUUCUUCCAGAAAGAGAAGAUAGCGGUGGUGCCUGCCUCAGAGCACGGUGGUGACUAUGGUACCUGGUAGAAAUCAGCUUAGCCCUGCGCUGGCGGGGCAGAAAGAGACUUCCUGAAAACCUCGUCCUCGUUCUUCCCCCCACAGUGGUAUUUGUUUCUUUUCUAUCUUUGUUUUUUCUAACUAUAAAUGUAAUGAAUGCUCAUAGCAAAGUUUACAUUCACACAAAGCGAAACAAGAGUU
rnacentral:lncRNA from 1 species